CUCCCUCUGGGGUCCACGUGUGGUGAGCUGGCCUAUGGGGGAAGCGCAGGUAGGGGAGGUGCUGGGAAGCAGCGUGAGGCUCUCGGAAAGUGGGCGGGACUAGGGAGGCCACCUGCGGACCGACUCCGCUUCUAGCUGUUCGACUUUCCGCCUUUUCCCCUUGGACCUCAGAGGAGACCAACACGUGGGAUCUCCGAGGAGUAGGGUCCUUUUAGUAGCAGAAUCUGACUGCAGAGAACAGGACAAUACCCAAUGGCUGGGGACAGAACUUUAUGUCAGCUAAAAGUCUCAGGUGCAUCCAUUUUGUUUCAGAGACUUGGAGCGGAGUGGAAGGACCGGGGCAAGCGAAGAGAAGUCAGGACGUGGAGGAAGCCGACCACGCCAAACUUACUGAGACCACAGCGGAGACCAGAGGACUGAAGACGAGCAGCCAGAAGGUCAUCUGCUAGACGUGUUUCACCGCUUCUAUGAAGCCAUCAUCCACGUCUACAAGAACAAGAAAGUUCCUGGGGAAAUUGGUGAUGGGCCUGGCUGGCCUUGAGGAUGCUCUUGAGUAAGAACUGGAUGCCUAGUUUUAUGACUUGAGACCAGAAAGCAGUCAGCCACCCUGAGCAAGCACUGGAUGGAGAAGCUCCUGGGUGCAGACCAGGAGAAAUGCAAGAUUGGACCAUUGACAGAACACUGACUUCUUCCAAAGAGAAGAACUGGAGCCUAAGAUUUAACCUCGAGCACAAGACAAUCCUACACCAGCCUAGGCACUGGACGUAGAAUGCGGCUGGAGAAGAGGAAACUCAAGGCUCUGGCACUGACUGGCACUGAUGCUUCUAAACAGGGGAUACCUGAGAAGGCACUGAGUUAGCAACACUUUCAUUCCCACCUACAACUGGAUGCUGAGAUUUGCCCCCACGAUCAAAAGAGAAUCAAGUAUCAUGAGAAAGGCCUGGAGAUAGAAGUCUGUUGGAUGAAGAGGGGAGAACUGCAGGAUUCCAUCAUUGACUGCAAUCUUCUUUAGCAUAAGAGAUGCAUGAGCAAGGUGGUGCCUCAGAUUAUUUUUUCUUCCCUCCUUUGGUGCUAGAGUUCUGGUGUGGGUCCUCAUUCACCAGAUGUGGCAUCAGUAGGAAAUACUCAUAUUCUAAGAAUAGAUCAUUUUUCCUAACUUUAAAGAAAGAAGGCACAACUGCUGCUGGACUCUGCCUUUGUAGUACAGUUUUUUUUCUUUUUUCCCCAGAUCAGAAAGGUAGGAGCAGAGAUCUGCAGUGAGAUUUUCUUACUCCUCUGGGGCAUCACUGCCAUGAUGUGGAAAACAUUUAAUAAAGACCUGUAUACACAUUGCUUUCUCAAUACUGCUUCUAGUCAUCAUGGAGGUGAAGGUCAGGGGGAUUCUUACAUGACCAAGUCUGGCUCCUACCACUUUUUUCCCCUUGGUGCACAGACUGAAAUCAUGGGACCUUUCAGAGUCAUAAUGUAGAGCCAGUUGGUGGAGAGAGACCAGUAAGAAGUGCAGAACUAUGCAUAACAUAGUCAAAUUUAAUACUAAUUUAUUAAAUAUUUAAUUUUAUUUGUAGAACAGGUUUAUAGACACAUCUCUGAUCUCUCUGACUGGAACUUAUCAUCCUUUCAAUGUAAGUGUCACUCCAAUACCAUGGACUGAGAAGGUGGGUGCCCCAACUCACCAUCUCCUUCUUUUCCCUGCUGCUUCCAUCAGUUUCCAUGUACUUUCCUUCUUCCCUACUUUGAUUUUUCGUCUUUAGUGUUUUAAUGGUAGAUUCUGAUGAAGAAACAGAUCUACUAGCUG